AUUACGGGGUGCAGCAGGCGCGAAACCUCCGCAAUGUGAGAAAUCGCGACGGGGGGAUCCCAAGUGCCAUUCUUAACGGGAUGGCUUUUCUUUAGUGUAAAAAGCUUUUGGAAUAAGAGCUGGGCAAGACCGGUGCCAGCCGCCGCGGUAAUUCAAU
rnacentral:rRNA from 1 species